rnacentral:rRNA from 1 species
CCCUACGGGGGGCAGCAGUGAGGAAUAUUGGUCAAUGGGCGAGAGCCUGAACCAGCCAAGUCGCGUGAGGGAAGACGGUCCUAUGGAUUGUAAACCUCUUUUGCCGGGGAGCAAAAAGCGGUACGUGUACCGCAUCGAGAGUACCCGGAGAAAAAGCAUCGGCUAACUCCGUGCCAGCAGCCGCGGUAAUACGGAGGAUGCGAGCGUUAUCCGGAUUUAUUGGGUUUAAAGGGAGCGUAGACGGUGCGUCAAGUCUGAAGUGAAAGCCCGGGGCUUAACCCCGGGACUGCUUUGGAAACUGGCGG